rnacentral:rRNA from 1 species
UAAUACGGAGGUGGCAAGCGUUGUUCGGAUUUACUGGGUGUAAAGAGUGCGUAGGUGGUCGGGCAAGUCAGGUGUGAAAUCCCACGGCUCAACCGUGGAAUUGCAUUUGAAACUGCUUGACUUGAGUGUAUGAGAGGAAAGGGGAAUUCUCGGUGUAAGGGUGAAAUCUGUAGAUAUCGAGAGGAACACCAGCGGCGAAGGCGCCUUUCUGGCAUGCAACUGACACUGAGGCACGAAAGCGUGGGGAGCGAACAGGAUUAGAUACCCUGGUAGUCCACGCCGUAAACGAUGGGUACUAGGUGUUUCUGUCUUUGACAGGAGUGCCGCAGCUAACGCAUUAAGUACCCCACCUGGGGAGUACGUCGGCAACGAUG